GGAGGAGGACCCUCCGCAAUCGCCAUGCAGAUGGAGAGUGCAAAACACUUAUAGUGAUGUGGUAUAAAAAAGUUGACAGUUUGUUCGCAAGG
rfam:Blautia sp. CAG:257 genomic scaffold, scf49